UUUCUUCUUUAAUCAAUCAAUAAAGUUAUUUUCCUCAAGUUUCUAUAUAGGUCUUUCAUAAAAAGUGACAAAGUAAUAAAUCGAUAGAGAUUGGCUAAGACCGACGUCUAACGAUAGCAUCAAUAAUAAUCAAGAAUAUCCAAAAAGAUGUCUUAAAAUGUUGAUGAACCAAAGACAAUCAAGCAUAACCUCAGUCCUCUAUUAAUGAAGAUCAGACAAAAAUUGAUCAAAGAAUAUUCAAGCUCUGGCUUGAACCAUCGA
rnacentral:lncRNA from 1 species